rnacentral:rRNA from 1 species
UAGGGAAUCUUCCGCAAUGGACGCAAGUCUGACGGAGCAACGCCGCGUGAGUGAAGAAGGAUUUCGGUUCGUAAAACUCUGUUGUUAGAGAAGAACAGCGCAUAGAGUAACUGUUAUGCGUGUGACGGUAUCUAACCAGAAAGCCACGGCUAACUACGUGCCAGCAGCCGCGGUAAUACGUAGGUGGCAAGCGUUGUCCGGAUUUAUUGGGCGUAAAGCGAGCGCAGGCGGUCAAUUAAGUCUGAUGUGAAAGCCCCCGGCUCAACCGGGGAGGGUCAUUGGAAACUGGUUGGCUUGGGUGCAGAAGAGGAGGGUGGAAUUCCAUGUGUAGCGGUGAAAUGCGUAGAUAUAUGGGGGAACACCAGUGGCGAAGGCGACUCUCUGGUCUGUAACUGACGCUGAGGUUCGAAAGCGUGGGUAGCAAACAGG